rnacentral:rRNA from 1 species
UUGGUAGGUAAACGGCUUACCAAGGCGAUGAUGCAUAGCCGAGUUGAGAGACUGAUCGGCCACAUUGGGACUGAGACACGGCCCAAACUCCUACGGGAGGCAGCAGUAGGGAAUCUUCCACAAUGGACGCAAGUCUGAUGGAGCAACGCCGCGUGAGUGAAGAAGGGUUUCGGCUCGUAAAGCUCUGUUGUUGGUGAAGAAGGACGGGGGUAGUAACUGACCUUUGUUUGACGGUAAUCAAUUAGAAAGUCACGGCUAACUACGUGCCAGCAGCCGCGGUAAAU